UACGAAGGGGGCUAGCGUUGCUCGGAAUCACUGGGCGUAAAGCGCACGUAGGCGGCUUCUUAAGUCAGGGGUGAAAUCCUGGAGCUCAACUCCAGAACUGCCUUUGAUACUGAGGAGCUUGAGUCCGGGAGAGGUGAGUGGAACUGCGAGUGUAGAGGUGAAAUUCGUAGAUAUUCGCAAGAACCCCAGUGGCGAAGGCGGCUCACUGGCCCGGUACUGACGCUGAGGUGCGAAAGCGUGGGGAGCAAACAGG
rnacentral:rRNA from 1 species